ensembl:lncRNA
UACAUCCUUGGGGAGACUCUUACCCACCAUUCAAAGCCCCAUUUAAAAGUCUCCUCUUCUAGGAAGCCUUCCCUGACUUCACAGUCAGAACAAACCUCUCUGUCCUCUGGACUCCAGUAGGCCCCUGUUCCUCUCAUGAAAGUAACACUUCUUGGGCUCUAUUGGGUCUCACUGACAAUCCUGGCUGCUCCCUGGUGGCAAGAACCACAUCUCCCUCAUCUUUGUGGUGCUUGACACUCACCAGCCUUUGAGGAUUGGUUGAAGGAAGACCUGGAUUCUUUCUUCCCACUUACUCUUUAUGGGAUAUUAGGCAAGACUCAAUUUCCCUCAAGCUUAGUAGGCUCAUCUCUAAAACAGGGGCAGAAAUUAUCUUCACCCCACCUCCUCAAAUCCAAUGAGACUAUUGAUGGUGAAAGGUUUGCAAGUCCUAAGGAACUGCAGGAGUGUGGGGAUUAUCCUUGAUGCUUACUGCAUUGUUCUCAGGACAGUCUGCUGACUUGGCCCAAGAUGUAACGUCAUUACAUCCAUGUAGGUUUUGGUUUCAAGGGUCUGAUUACAAAUCGUGAGUUGGCUUUGACCCCGAAGAUUGAUGCCAGCUGCACCCUCUCUUGCUGUGUGGAUCCCUCCUCAGUCCUGGGCAAUGGCCUCACCAUAGCACCUGUAGUUUCACAUGAGGAGCCUAAAAAUUGUCAAAGGAAGGACAGAAUUAGAGCCAUUUUCUUAGGCUUCCUGUAGGGUUUGUUUUAGUCCCCACCCACAGGGCAGUGGUGUAUGAAGCAACUUCCUUUCUCAAGCCCUUCAUUCAUUCAUUCACUCACUCAUUCAGCGCCCUCCUCAUGUAAGCAAGCAGGAAUCGCAGAGUCUGGGGUGGGGCUGCUCUGACAGGGCUUUGCAGAAGUUCUCCAAAUUGUGCAGAGGAGGAGCGCCAAUGCCAGAUGCCAGGGAGAAGCUUCCUGCAGGAGGUGACACCCCAGCUGACUCAGAGACCCUUGAGGACAAGUUGCUCAGCCUGGCUGGAGUGUAAAGUGUAAGGGGUACGUGAGCAGAGAUAAAGCCAGAGCAGGAGGCAGGAGCCAGACCAGGAAGGAUCUUAGGAGCUGUGACUUGGGACCUGCUUGGAAAGAUGCCUGAAAUUCUACGGGUAAAACUUGCUGAAGGUGAUGCAGUUAACCUGCGGAAGAACCCAUCUCCAGGCUCCUAGUCCAGUGCUCACUGGCUCCUUCACUAUUCAUUAAGCACCCCUGGGGCUGCUGCCUCUGGCUACACACCAGCCCGAGCUUUGGCCAGGCCGCCAAGUGCGAGGAGCCCAAGCCCUGAGCCAAGCCUGUGAAGAUGCCUUCAAACACAGGUUCUGCUGCUGCUGCUGACAAGGCAUCUGAGCUGGAACCAAAGACCAGCGGGAGGCCGGCAGCCCACGUCUCUCCCCAAGCCAUAUGGGCCCUUUCCUUCCGUGGUUAAUUUUCACUUUUCCUAAAGAUGGGUUCGUUUAGGGGGCGGGGAGCAGAGCAACGCCUGAUGGGGAGCACAUGCCACCCCCAGAGCGGGUGCUUUGAUCCUCGCCGAGGCCAGGCUGCAACAUCUUGGUCCCUGCGCCAACCGCUGUCCUGGCGAGGCUCCAGGCGUGGGUGGCCUCGCGUGCAGGGAGCCCCGCCGCCCCCGCCACACGAAAGGCGGGACUGGAGCUGUCUCCUCCCGGAGGGGCGACGCUGGAGCGCAGCCCGGCAGACGCACACUCGGCUUCCAGCUAGGAUCCUGGGAGCCACACAAAGGAAAUGGCAAGAUCGUGAGUCACCCCGAGGCCCGGCUGCUGCCUGGGCUGCAGGCCCACAACAGGACCUUUGUGCCGCGCUCCAGGAGGACGAGGGGGCCGUGCUGCAGAGAGGCAGACAUUUCAGGGCGCUGAGUAAUGCUCCGAGAGGGGAGGCAUCGCCGCCGGCAGCGGGACUGGCUCCUGGGCGCCCACCACAACGCCAAGGGACCCAGGCGCCGCUUAGAGGGAGCCCCCUGCCGCCAUCUUGUCACACCGCUUGUCCCUGCUCCUGACUUUCCACUGGGCCUGUGAGUCCACAAGGCCCGGGGUUGGGCUGCAGUCUCCAGAGACCUGCGACUAGAGCUUUGUUACUGGAUAGACCGCUCAGCCCUGGAUCUCCUCUGCUCGGCAGACAUCCUCUCCCAGGAGCCCCUCGGCUCCCUGCUGUUACCCUUCACCCAGGCCCGAAGAGCAGCUCCUUCAAGAAGCUCACAGACUCCUGAGAAGACACAGAGAUUGUCUGCUCGGCUGAAGUCGAAAUAAAACAACUAAACAGACCAGGGCAGCAACGGAGAGAACAAUUUUCUCUGGAGCUGUGGUCCUCAUGGUGUAGUCACUGAAAAGCACCAUGAGUGUCAGCUGGGAACUUCUUGGAAAUACAAAUCCUGGACCCCGCCUCGGCUGUUGAAUCAGAAAGCCCGGGGGUGGAGCCCGGCGAUCUGUGUUUCGACAAGCCCUCCUCGCUCUGAAGUGUGGGAACUUGGGACGGUGGUGAUGGGUGGGGGCAGAGGGAGUGUGGCAACCUCUUGGAAGAAUCCAGGAAGAGCGUCCCCUGGGGCCCGUGGAGGAGCGCAGCCAGACGCGGGAAGGAGGGCAUGCCCGCCCAGCACAGGACCCGCUCUGCAUCCCGCAACCACUCCCAGCUCGGCGUACCUUCUGAUGUAGCUUUAAGAGUCUCGGAGUCAUCACUUUGUUGAUGUUGUGUUGUCUAGAGUAAACAGCGAAGAAUUCUUUAGAGUCAAAUAAGAUUGCUUUGUGUUUUAAAAAAAGAUCUCUUGGUUGAACUCCAUUUUGUGUUCUACCUUUAAGUAAGGAGUAUCUUUAGACUAAUUUCUGAAAGUUACAAAAUUCACCUAAUGAACUCGUCCGACCUCUUUUCUUUGACUCCUUUAAAGAAAGCAUAUAGCUUUUAACACAAAAGUUCUUCUCAAAGUGUUUUGUUUUGGGGGCAAAUUUAUGCUCAGAGAUUUGAGUUUGUCUUUGUCAAUAUUUUAUUUAACGUGGGUUCACUAUGGGAGUUAUAACAACUUCACAAGCCAAGAGCAUACAGAAUAAGUCUCUUAAUAAGCCAAUAAAAAGAUAAUGUACUCCAAACCAAUGAUAAAGCAAUCACACUAUUGUUCCAGGCAAGAGGAGAUAAAAGGAAUAAAGUCCACAUUUAAUUGAGGUGUACAGUUUUAUGCGUCGGCUAAACCAACCAAGAGCUCACUUCCAGCUGCCAGUGCAAAAUAAAAGUUUCUCGCUGUGGCCCGUUGCUAGUGAAUGCAGGUGCCGGUGUUGGCCCACAAGUUGCUCUCCUGCAUGGGGCCGCUGUGCCGUUUGUCACCCCUACUGAUAAGGGAGGCACCCUGACCUCAGUAGGAGCUAAUGCCCCAAGGUCUUCGGCGAGUUUAUGUAGGUCAGCAAAGCUUGCCUUGCCCAGACCAAAACUCCCGGGUGUUCCUCUCAAACCCGGGUAUUUGGAGUCUAAAUGUCCCCUUGCCACGUGGUUGCUACUCCACAUGUUUUUACUAAUAGGUUCCCCAGCAGUGCCCCUCAUAAGCUGAGUGAUGGAGUGCUUAUCAAUGACAACAGAUAAGAUGAUAAAUCCCAACACAACUUUCUUCAUUCUUAUAUCAAAACAACAAUAGUUGUCUUUGUCCUAAACAAGUAGCUUAAAACAAUUUCGCUUAAGUCAUAAACAAGUGGACUUGAAAUCAUAUCAGACCAAUACACAACACAAAGAAAUUAAAGAUGGAUAGCUUAGACAUUGCUUAUGUAAUAAUUCUCUUCUCUUGGACAUUUAUUUUGUCUUUCAACUUUAUUUCCCCUGCAAUUCAUGUACCCGCCAUCUUGUCUCCAACCUCCCCACAGACUUCCUGGCUUUGAACGAGGAAGCCAGGUCACCAACCUGUUACAAUCGUACAGAGUUAAGGGUGAAGCUCUAAGCAGGAGACUUUCUCCCUUAAGUGUCAUGCAUGGAUGCUACUUUGCAAUUUCAUGGUUUAGUGAAAAAAGAGCAGUUUCCAAUCAGACAAAUUAAGGUUCAAUCUUAGCUCUACCUCUCACGAGCUGGUCAUUAAACCAUAAGUCUGCGUUUCCUCACUUCCUUGGCUCUAACACGGGGCUAAGGACGUACUGUGGGGGUAAAUAAAAUAAUCAUGUGUAAAGUAGCCGGCAUGUAAUAAACAGUGAUUGUUAUUGCUACCUUCCUGUCCUUCUUUCAGGAUAACAGUAAAAUGUGCAGAGCUCAGACUCAGAAGCAGAUUAGCCUGAAUCCAGU